AUGAGUUGUCCUCAUAUUCAUGAACAAAAUGGCUCAGCUAUAAGAAAAGUGAGGAAAAUGGAACAGGCUACAAGACAUGCUGAAAUGGAAGCUAUAGACGUGCUUCUAGAACAGUGGCAGAAAAAUGGACUUUCAAUGACUGAUGUUGCUAAAAAAUUCUCAAACCGCAGUCUUUAUGUUACCUGUGAAAUAUGCAUAAUGUGCGCAUCUGCUUGA